rnacentral:rRNA from 1 species
AUUGAACGCUGGCGGCAUGCCUUACACAUGCAAGUCGAACGGCAGCACGGGGGCAACCCUGGUGGCGAGUGGCGAACGGGUGAGUAACAUAUCGGAACAUACCCUAGAGUGGGGGAUAACGUAGCGAAAGUUACGCUAAUACCGCAUACGAUCUAAGGAUGAAAGUGGGGGAUCUUCGGACCUCAUGCUCAUGGAGUGGCCGAUAUCUGAUUAGCUAGUUGGUGAGGUAAAGGCUCACCAAGGCGACGAUCAGUAGCUGGUUUGAGAGAACGACCAGCCACACUGGAACUGAGACACGGUCCAGACUCCUACGGGAGGCAGCGGUGGGGAAUUUUGGACAAUGGGCGCAAGCCUGAUCCAGCCAUUCCGCGUGAGUGAAGAAGGCCUUCGGGUUGGUUAAAG